AUACAAUUAAAAUCAAGACAAAGAUUACUAAUUCAGUGUUGAUAUUUGAAUUGGCCCCGGACCCCUCUGUAGAGGAAAAGGGUAAGAACCCCUGUGGUACAACAUGGUCAAAAUGACAUUUUGUUUCAUAUUGCAUCCAGGCGCACCUUGAUGAGCAUGAACUUGUUCAUGGGCUGGUACCACUGCAGCAGCAUCACACUGGACUCCAGCGCACAGCACAGGAAGUCGUCAACUGCAAGGAGGAACACAGGCAGUAAAACAUAAUGACAUUCCCAUUUUUGGUUUUGUCUGUGAUGUUUGCUUUGUCCGUCAGGUUUUCGGGUCACGUGUUUCACUGUACCAGCUUGGGCGGUUGGGUUCCUGCUUCAAGAUAGUAAUGAUGGAAAACUGGGAAAACCGCAGUCCAUUGAACGCUUUAGCGGAAAAGGAGACGAGCAAACAAACAGUGGAGGCCAACGAAGGAAAGGCAUAAAUGGCAGCGGUGGGAUUUGAACCCACGCCUCCGAAGAGACUGGAGCCUUAAUCCAGCGCCUUAGACCGCUCGGCCACGCUACCCUGCAGAAGUUAACAGCCAUGUGGAAAUUGUCGAGCCCUUAACCCAGAACACGGUGAACACAACAGGGGAAAGGCAUAAAUGGCAGUGGUGGGAUUUGAACCCACGCCUCCGAAGAGACUGGAGCCUUAAUCCAGCGCCUUAGACCGCUCGGCCACACUACCCUGCAGAAGUCAUCAGCCAUAUGAAGAUUCUGGACCCCUUGACCCAUAACACGGUGAACACA